rnacentral:rRNA from 1 species
CCUACGGGAGGCAGCAGUCGGGAAUCUUGCACAAUGGGCGAAAGCCUGAUGCAGCAACGCCGUGUGAGCGAUGAAGGCCUUAGGGUCGUAAAGCUCUGUUGUUAGGGACGAAGGGCGAAGGGUUAAUAGCCCUUAGCCUGACGGUACCUUUCGAGGAAGCCCCGGCUAACUACGUGCCAGCAGCCGCGGUAAUACGUAGGGGGCGAGCGUUGUCCGGAAUUAUUGGGCGUAAAGGGCGCGUAGGCGGCUCGGUAAGUCUGCUGUGAAACCUUGGGGCUCAACCCCAAGCGUGCAGUGGAUACUGUCGAGCUAGAGGAUGGUAGAGGCCAGUGGAAUUCCCGGUGUAGCGGUGAAAUGCGCAGAUAUCGGGAGGAACACCAGUAGCGAAGGCGGCUGGCUGGGCCAUUCCUGACGCUGAGGCGCGAAAGCUAGGGGAGCGAACAGGAUUAGAUACCCUGGUAGUCCUAGCCGUAAACGAUGAACACUAGGUGUGGGGGGAGUCGAAUCCCUCCGUGCCGAAGCCAACGCGUUAAGUGUUCCGCCUGGGGAGUACGGCCGCAAGGCUAAAACUCAAAAGAAUUGACGGGGGCCCGCACAAGCAGCGGAGCAUGUUCUUUAAUUCGAUGCAACGCGAAGAACCUUAC